AGCAGCUUCCCUAUAUGGUGUCCUAAGCUAUUAAUAUAAGGAAUAUGACAUAAAACACAACUCCAGCAGAGUCCUAGCCAUCCCUUAAAAAGUUAGGAUGCCCACUUCAUUCCUCAUUUUUAAGGAUUGUGGAACCAUUCCUCAUACUAUUUUAAAUAAUAAAAUAUUCACUUCUCUCCUUUUUCUUCCUCUUUCCUCCUUUCUCUCUCCUACUUACAAGUUGAAUAUAAUAUUAUAAUAAUAAUAGGGAAUAGAAAUAGGGAAUGUUGUUGGAGUUCCCAUUCAAUAAAAUGUAGUAAUCCCUUAAAAAUUGAAUAUUUUAUUAUAUAUUUAGGGAACAUGUUAAGACUCUGCUGGAGAUGCUCUAAG
rnacentral:lncRNA from 1 species